GAUGAACGCUGGCGGCGUGCUUAACACAUGCAAGUCGAACGGAAAGGCCUCUGCUUGCAGGGGUACUCGAGUGGCGAACGGGUGAGUAACACGUGGGUGAUCUGCCCUGCACUUCGGGAUAAGCCUGGGAAACUGGGUCUAAUACCGGAUAGGACAAUGGUUUGGAUGCUGUUGUGGAAAGUUUUUCGGUGUGGGAUGAGCUCGCGGCCUAUCAGCUUGUUGGUGGGGUAAUGGCCUACCAAGGCGUCGACGGGUAGCCGGCCUGAGCGGGUGUACGGCCACAUUGGGACUGAGAUACGGCCCAGACUCCUACGGGAGGCAGCAGUGGGGAAUAUUGCACAAUGGGCGCAAGCCUGAUGCAGCGACGCCGCGUGGGGGAUGACGGCCUUCGGGUUGUAAACUCCUUUCGCUAGGGACGAAGCGUUUUUGUGACGGUACCUGGAGAAGAAGCACCGGCUAACUACGU
rnacentral:rRNA from 1 species